AAUACAUUCCUUAGAAUCACCUUUGGGAUGUAUCUAUUUUCCUGUUCGGGAUCAUUCUAUGUGAUGGGUCUUCCAUUAUGUUUGUUGGGUAAUCUUCAAUUUUCAUGGCUGUACAAUCAAAGGUGCUUGUGUCAUUGAUGUUGGCAAUGCCUGUUAGUGAAUAGUCUGUUAAUUACCUGCUAUUUACUGCCAUUGGGACUUGGCUAAUUUGUGGACAUU